ACGGGAGGCAGCAGUGGGGAAUCUUGGGCAAUGGGGGAAACCCUGACCCAGCGACGCCGUGUGGGGGACGAAGGCCUUCGGGUUGUAAACCCCUGUUAGGUGGGACGAAUGCCCUUUCGUAAAUAACGAAGGGGCUUGACGGUACCACCAGAGAAAGCCCCGGCUAACUCCGUGCCAGCAGCCGCGGUAAUACGGAGGGGGCGAGUGUUGUUCGGAAUUACUGGGCGUAAAGGGCGCGCAGGCGGCUUGGCAAGUCAAGUGUGAAAUCCCUCAGCUUAACUGAGGAAUAGCGCUUGAAACUACCUCGCUAGAGGGUGGGAGAGGGAAGUGGAACUCUCGGUGUAGGGGUGAAAUCUGUAGAUAUCGAGAGGAACACCGGUGGCGAAGGCGGCUUCCUGGCCCACAUCUGACGCUGAGGCGCGAAAGCGUGGGGAGCAAACAGGAUUAGAUACCCUGGUA
rnacentral:rRNA from 1 species